rnacentral:rRNA from 1 species
AGUGAACGCUGGCGGUAGGCCUAACACAUGCAAGUCGAACGGCAGCACAGUAAGAGCUUGCUCUUACGGGUGGCGAGUGGCGGACGGGUGAGGAAUACAUCGGAAUUUACUUUUUCGUGGGGGAUAACGUAGGGAAACUUACGCUAAUACCGCAUACGACCUACGGGUGAAAGCAGGGGAUCUUCGGACCUUGCGCGAUUGAAUGAGCCGAUGUCGGAUUAGCUAGUUGGCGGGGUAAAGGCCCACCAAGGCGACGAUCCGUAGCUGGUCUGAGAGGAUGAUCAGCCACACUGGAACUGAGACACGGUCCAGACUCCUACGGGAGGCAGCAGUGGGGAAUAUUGGACAAUGGGCGCAAGCCUGAUCCAGCCAUACCGCGUGGGUGAAGAAGGCCUUCGGGUUGUAAAGCCCUUUUGUUGGGGAAGAAAAGCAGCAGGUUAAUACCCCGCUGUUCUGACGGUACCCAAAGAAUAAGCACCGGCUAACUUCGUG